UCUCUCUCCUCUGCGUAUUACUGUUUCCGACGACGCAGGAGUACUUUCCGGCCACCAUUUUUAGCCACGCUGCGGACCGUUGGAUUCAGAGGCCUCCGAACUAUCGACCCACGCGGGAAUCUAGAGCUCACUCGCCGAUUAAACGCCUCAACCACUCAAUUUAAGUUCGGCCACCCCGCGACUUCAAAGUUGCGAUUCGGCCACCUCGGGCAUCCGUUUGCCGAUCCGUCACCACCAUCGUGUUCCUCGUGUUGUGGGCUUCAAAACCCAAUAACUUGUUCCUACAUCUACCAUAGUUGGGUGGUGGGCCCACCACGAGCCACCGCGAUCCACCGUAGACCGACGGUCGAAACUUAGUGUUCGGGGUUUUGAAGUACGUUUUGAGUCUCAGAAAAUCAUCGUUUGACUUGUUGUGGAACCCGAUCACUUUGGAUUUGUAUGGAUUUAAUUGAUUGACUCUUGGUGAGCCGUUUUAAAAUAAGCUAAGGACCUAAGGUGUGGCUUUAGCUGUUGAGCAACUUGUGGAGCACGGACUCAGUAGCAAUACAAUAAUGGUUUAGAGUUUUCAUAUGGCUGCCUUAAAUUUAAAGUAUUC